AAUAAUUAAUAUUAGUAUAAUUACAUAGGUGAUUAUUGAAAAUUCUCCACGCUGAUUGGUUACCGUUGAGGUGAUUAUUACGCAAUAAUCACCUAAGUGAUUUUCGAAAUGGCGGCCGAAGCCGUUUUCUCAAUUAAAAGACAAAGAAGUGUGCAUUUUUUUAUUUUUUUCCAAAUAAUCAUCUAUGAAAUUAUACUAAAACAAUUAUUCACCUCAGGCUCGGUGAUUAUCGUGAAUAAAAACCUCGACUUCGUCUCGGUUUUUAUUCACCGAUAAUCACCUCGCCUUCGGCGAAUAAUUGUUAAAUAAUAAUAAUAAUAAUUUAUUCAAUAGCAUAUAUCCCUUCUGGAAAGUUCUUCAUUAAUUUCAUUACAAGUAAUUGCCGAAAGGUAGAAUAAUUAAGAUGAAACUGUAAAAUAAUUUAAUAUAAACAUGACAAAAUUACUGGGGAAUUUUAUUAAUUGU